rnacentral:pre_miRNA from 12 species
AGAAUGAAGAUAGAAAUCCUAUAUCCUGUGAGAUAUGUUUGAUAUUCUUGGUUGUUGAAUUGAAUCACCCAGGAAUCAAACAUAUUAUUACAGUGUAUAGUAAACACAACAGAGAGACCU